UUGCAAUGAUGACUUAUAAAUCUGUCAAUCCCCUGAGGAUGAUCAUUGAUGUCUCCUUCUAUCUGAGCAA